AACGAACGCUGGCGGCAGGCCUAACACAUGCAAGUCGAACGCUGUGGCAAUACAGAGUGGCAGACGGGUGAGUAACGCGUGGGAACCUUCCCAAUGGUGCGGGAUAGCUCAGGGAAACUUGAGGUAAUACCGCAUAAGCCCUUAGGGGGAAAGAUUUAUCGCCAUUGGAUGGGCCCGCGUCGGAUUAGCUAGUUGGUGAGGUAAUGGCUCACCAAGGCAACGAUCCGUAGCUGGUUUGAGAGAAUGACCAGCCACACUGGGACUGAGACACGGCCCAGACUCCUACGGGAGGCAGCAGUGGGGAAUCUUGGACAAUGGGCGCAAGCCUGAUCCAGCCAUGCCGCGUGAGUGACGAAGGCCUUAGGGUUGUAAAGCUCUUUUGCCGGGGACGAUAAUGACGGUACCCGGAGAAUAGGUCCCGGCUAACUUCGUGCCAGCAGCCGCGGUAACAC
rnacentral:rRNA from 1 species